rnacentral:lncRNA from 10 species
CCCGGCGGAAGAAGGGGGCUCUCCAAGCACACCUGGCAGCCUGCAGCCUUUAGGUUUCUUCCCUGUUCCCUCUGCUGCCGACUUUUCUUUCACUUUCACUUAGAGCAAGAUGGCAGCCCGCGUCCCUGUGUGAAGCCGUCUGCAGCAGCUGCCAGAGCCCUGCUUGCUGUUUCCUUUCUCACCACCCACCUCACCCGGAAAUCCCCUGUCUCGAAAAGGCACUCUGUCACGUGUACACAGGAAAGGGCCCUGACAAGAGGAUGGGACUGCAGUUGUGGCUGCCAGGGCCCCGGCCAGGGUGAAAACAAGGAACAUUCCAGAGAAGAUCACAAGGAUGCGAAUAAAAUCGGAGCUGCACAGGGAUCUUUGGGCUGAGCUUUCUGUCUGGCUUCCCUCCUGGCCCCUCGUGUAUGCAUUCUCUCUAGCGGUGGGGAUUAAGGAGAAAACUCACGUGGCCAGUGGGUAGAGAGAGUCCGGGCAGGCAGCUGCCUGAAGUCAGCCAGAGUCUGCAUGUGCCCAGCUGUCCUGGCCUCCAGCAUCUCUGGAAAAACAGAGACAGAAUGAGUAGCAGCAGGGGACCCCAUAGGGCACAUCUGAAGGCCUGAGAGGUGCUGGAUGGGAUGGGAAGGCAGAAACAGGCUGACCUUAUCUAGGGGUAGGAGUGGGGAGUACUGGUUGGGGUAUCACCGCUACCCCACGUGAUGGCACAGAGAGUUGCCUGGAACUUACCACUGACAUAAGGUUGGAGUGCAGUGGCACGAUCUCGGCUCAGUGCAACCUCCGCCUCCUGAGUUCAAGUGAUUCUCCUGCCUCAGCCUCCCUAGUAGCUGGGAUUACAGGACAAGGAGAGGGACAAAUUCCUUCUUGGCAUCCUUAUGGCCCUGUGACCUGCUAAUGAAUGCUGACUCUGAGUUGCUACUAGAAUUUGGUUUCCUUGUGGCUUCCCAGGAAUUGGUCUCACUCUGCUCACUCUGUCUCCCAAGCUGGAGUGCAGUGGUACAGUCACGGCUCACUGCAGCCUCCACUUCCUGGACUCAAGUGAUCUUCUCACUUCAGCCUUCUGAGUAGCUGGGACUACAGCCCCCUCUGCAGCUCUUCAUGGGGGUCCACUCAAGUCAGAAGCCACAUUUGGGUGUGAUUCAGAGAGCUGUUUAUGCAAAACCAGCUUUGUCACCAUCAGGCAAGGCACCUGAAUUCCCACCGCAGAGAGUGUUGUGGCCGUGAGGACUUUUCUGUCACCAGCCAUUUCCAGGUAGACCCAGUGUAAUCACAAGCAUCCUUGUAAGUGGCAAAGAGGCAGAGGAGACAGCGCCAGAGAGGCAGCUGCAUGAGAAGGAUCAAGAUGUUGCUGACUUUGAAGUUGGAAGAAGAAGGCCAUGAGCCUCAGUAUGUGGGCGGCUUCUAGAAGCUGGAAGGGGCAAGGAGAUGGAUUUGACCCUUCAGCCUCCAGGGGCAGCUGUACCUGCCAUCACUGAUUGUAGCCUGGUGAGGCCUGUUUUAGACUUCUGACCUGUAGAGCUGUAACAUAAUACAUUUGGGUUGUUUUCAACCACUAAGUUUGUGGUAAUUUGUUGUAGCAGCUGUAGAAAAUGAAUACAUAUGAAUCCUCUGGCAUUUGUUUGAGAUUUGCUCUAUGGCCUAGUAUGUGGUUGUAAAUGUUCCAUCUGUGCCUGAAAAAAUGUAUAUUUCUAAUUCAGUAGUCUCUGCUUUUUUUUUUUAUUUUGUACCCCAUCAAUAAAAUGAUUUUCAGCAUGUAUCCCCAAAUAAACAAUAUUUUAUUUAUUGAUUGAUUGAUAAACAGACAUGUUUAAUGAUAGCUUGCUUUUCACAGAGGUGACUUCGGAGACUUCUAAUCUAUAAUCCAGGAGUAUAUAACCAUG